UACGGGGGGAGCGAACGUUGUUCGGAAUCACUGGGCGUAAAGGGCGCGUAGGCGGCUUCGUAAGUGAGAUGUGAAAGCCCCUGGCUCAACCAGGGAAAUGCGUCUCAUACUGCGGGGCUUGAGUGCAGGAGAGGAUGGGGGAAUUCCCGGUGUAGCGGUGAAAUGCAUUGAUAUCGGGAGGAACACCAGUGGCGAAGGCGCCCAUCUGGCCUGUUACUGACGCUGAGGCGCGAAAGCCGGGGGAGCAAACAGG
rnacentral:rRNA from 1 species